rnacentral:rRNA from 11 species
ACGAGUGGCGCACGGGUGCGUAACGCGUAUGCAACCUACCUUAUACUGGGGAAUAGCCCGAAGAAAUUCGGAUUAAUGCCCCAUAGUAUUGUCGAUUCGCAUGUUUUGACAAUUAAAGAUUACGGUAUAAGAUGGGCAUGCGUCCCAUUAGCUAGAUGGUAAGGUAACGGCUUACCAUGGCAACGAUGGGUAGGGGGCCUGAGAGGGUGAUCCCCCACACUGGUACUGAGACACGGACCAGACUCCUACGGGAGGCAGCAGUGGGGAAUCUUAGACAAUGGGCGCAAGCCUGAUCUAGCCAUGCCGCGUGUGUGAUGAAGGCCUUAGGGUCGUAAAGCUCUUUCGCCAGGGAUGAUAAUGACAGUACCUGGUAAAGAAACCCCGGCUAACUCCGUGCCAGCAGCCGCGGUAAUACGGAGGGGGUUAGCGUUGUUCGGAAUUACUGGGCGUAAAGCGCGCGUAGGCGGUUUG